CCGGCUUUGCCGCGCCCAUGAGCUUGGGUUUGCCUCUAGCUGAGGGCAUGGGGCAGGCCUGGGGAGCCGGUGGGCGCUGACCCAGCCCCAGGGCCCAGGGGAGGAGGGUGCCAGCUCUGUUUGGGAAGUGGGCUCUGUAAAGCGGCUUGGUUUAUGCGAGGACCUUGGUGUCCCCAUCCUGUGAGGGCUGUGGGUGUGAGGUAAAUGCAGGGCGGGGAGGGAAGAGGGGUCAGAGCAGAGCAGGAGAAGCAGGGGCAGGAUAGGUGAGGAAGAAGGGGGUGAGGAAGGUGCCGUUGGUCGAGGUUGGGUCAGGUAAGGACACGGUGGUAGGUGAAGGCCAGGGGCAGGUGGGGUGGCUGGGAGGUCUGUGGUCAGAGGACGGGUGCUGGUGGGGCCUGGAGAUGGCGGUACUGCCCCCACCCUCCCAAGCCUGGAGGCCUGACAGUUGCAUCCGAAACAUCCACAGCCACCAUCGUAUCAGCAGCACGGUGACCAUGGCUCACAAUAUAGGGACGGGCAUUCGUGCCGCUUUCUCAGAAUAUUAACGAUGGUCCCGGCAGAACGCUGUAUGAAUAUUCAUACGGAGAUCAGUCAAGCCUGGGCUGGCGGAUGGCACAGGGAGAGGGGCUGUGACGGGCUGGGUCCAGGUCCCAGCGGGCACACCUUGGCAGGGUGUGGCCAUAAGUCUCUACCAGCUCCAGUCAGGAUCCACCUCCCUCGGGAUGGAACAGGCCUGGGCCUGUUGUAUGGCCACAGGCAGAAGAGACCGAUGGGCGACAUGACAUCACCACUCAGUGAUGGCCAUCGUCCUGGGGGCCCAGAGGCUGGGGCGGGGCUCCUUCCCGAGAGACCCACAGAAGUUCAUCUCAGGUUUAACGGGGGCACUGCUGCCUCAGACGCCUGGCAGUGGGUGGUGAGGUCCCUGUCCUCACUGGGGUCUGCAGCCGAGGACUGGCCACCAAGGCUCGGGACUGCCAUCCUGACCUGGGUGGCCACGGCCAGUCCUCCUGGGAGCCCCUAGCACCUUGGGCCUGCCCCCAGCUCUCACGGCAGGAGAAGUUUUUUCCCCCACUCUGGUGGCCGACACCCUGGUGAAGGGAUUUGCAGAACGGGAGCACGUGGAUUUCCAGUUCUUCCCAGCAGGCACACGCAGACCAGUACCCUCUCCCUCCCCUUUGGGCAACACUCGGGUGCUGCUAGACCCUUGGCCCUGCUCACUGCGUGGGCCGUGCUCCACCCAUUCCCUCCCAGCAAGGGUGGUCCCUGGGCUCCCCUGACCUGAACUCUUCUGAGCUUGCUUCUCAGAACCAAGAGGGGCUGGCUCUGCGCCCUGCUUACCUGUCCAGUGGUGGGAGCUGCCCUUUGAAGCUAUCAAUCUGGGUUUUAAGUGUGGAUUCAUUAUUUACAACACCCUGACAUCAUGCUGACAUGAAUUAUUUGUAUGUUUUUCAAAUUGUGCUGUGAUAACCCUGGCUGUCUUCCUGCUCCCACAGUGGAUAAAAGCAUCCUAAAGAAUGCCGCCAUCUCGCUUCUCCUCACAGCCUGGAGCUGGGCCAACCGGAGCUGAGCCACCACGGGUGCUCGGUGCAGCCUGGUUUGACCCCCACCCUCCUUCACCUGGCUGGGAUGUUCCCCCAAAGAACGGAGGGACUCUGGCCCCUGGAGGAACAGGGAAGCCUCUGCCUGGGUAGCCAUUGGCAGCUUGUAUGUAAGAAGCACCAGGAAACACCCUCCCCCAUGGACACUAAAGCAGGGGCCGUUCUGUCACAGAGCAGCCACCUCCAGAUGGCCAUGCACCUGCACACCUGCUGGCACACCCUGCCCGGAGCCAGGGCCAGAUCCUGAGCUGGCUCCACAGGCACCAGCAGGUCCCAGCACCUGCAGCUUGGAGCAGAGGAUGGGCUGGGCUCAGGGGCUGCCCCCCAGACUCCAUCGUGGAC